UACGUAGGGGGCAAGCGUUGUCCGGAUUUAUUGGGCGUAAAGAGCUCGUAGGCGGUUUGUCGCGUCUGCUGUGAAAACUGGAGGCUCAACCUCCAGCCUGCAGUGGGUACGGGCAGACUAGAGUGCGGUAGGGGAGAUUGGAAUUCCUGGUGUAGCGGUGGAAUGCGCAGAUAUCAGGAGGAACACCGAUGGCGAAGGCAGAUCUCUGGGCCGUAACUGACGCUGAGGAGCGAAAGCUAGGGUAGCAAACGGG
rnacentral:rRNA from 1 species